AUAGGAAAGGAUUUAAGGAAAUGUCAUGUUUCGUUUGUAUUUUCAGAACUGUAGAUAAUUACUGAUUACUGCAGAAGAGUGAAUAUCCUCUAAGAAAUAAAGGUGAAGAGGAUGGAACGAGAAUGUCUUGCCUAAGGGGAGUUAGAUGAUCCUCCUGCAGUAAGACCUUUGCAUCCUCAAAAGGCAGCACCAGAAAUUUCUCAUAAAGUUUGACCUGUUGUUCUGAAGAAGGAGAAGCAGGAAGGAUGCUUGACCCCUCCAUGGAUGCAGUAGGAUCAGUUCUGGCCAGAGCUGUGCUGUGUGGGGAGGCUCAGAGGAGACGCUGCUGGCAGCCUGCAGGUGACCUCGGGACCCCAUGGGCCAGCCAGGAAGAUCUCUAUUAUUUUGAAGAAAUCCACAUUUGUCCUGCUGACAAUGUAGGGAGAAGUUAUUCUUCACUGUAGUGGCAUCAGAGGAAACUCUUAGGAGGAGGAAAUUCAAAGUAGGAGGAAGUCUCUCCCGGGAUUUGGCAUAGGGGAGUGCCACAAACCAUCAGCCUUCCUGUCUCUGCUGUGCCAACGAAGCCUCUCCUGGGAUGUACCACGAGAAGCAGACAGUGUGUCUGGGGAGUUAAUGUGGCUUCAGAUGAAAUUAUCUCCUGCAGAAUCCAUCUUGCCUGU
rnacentral:lncRNA from 1 species